UCAUUCGUUCCACUAUUCGGCGCCAGUUCUCUCUUCCACUGUUCUUCUUCGAUUUUGUCGCUCUCUUCCAUAGCUUCUGUCGCAACCCCUUCUAUUUAUUUCGUUGUGCCCAUGGGUUUUCGAUUCCGUCUUGCAAGCUCUCAGUUUACAAAACAAAAAGUUAUGCAUCUUCUCUUUCCCUUCUAUUUUCAUUUUCUUGCGAAAGGGCAAAGUUCCCACUUUUGAUUGUUCCAUUUGGGCGUCCUCCACAAAUUAGUGUUCAUUUGGUGAUUUCGUGGACAGUGCAAACGUCGUUGAGGGUGGACUUUGGUUUAUUGGAUGACUUUCGUGGGACAACGGUGGAUACUUUCUAUAUUGGAGGAAGAAACGAGUGAUAUGAACGUCAUACAAAGGAACUUCAUUAAUGAUAUUAAGACCCAAUCUUCAAUGAAUAUGGUUCAAAAUGUGCAAUAUAAUGGUGUUUUAUACCUCCUCGCAUCCGUCAAACACCAUUUUUCGAUGAUGGUUGUGUUUGUCAAUAACAUGCCAUAUAUAUUUUUAGAAUUAUUUAAUGUAGGUUGGACCAUGAUUGUAUUGCAUAAGUAAUAUGUAGAAAUUCACACUUUAAUUAUUGAUAUUGUGUAAGUUAUAUGUUCAGAUAGAACGUUUUGGGGCAGGAUUUCAUCCAGGAAUUUAUAUUCGCAACAGAUAUAUACCAAAUAUUGUGUACUUAAGUGGGGGUGGGUCAUUCUUAUUGACAAUAUAGUUCACAAUUUAGUUGGGGUGGGUUAGGCCUGCAUAUGAAAGGCGACAUAGAUUGUAAGGUGUGGCUUUCCCCAUGACUUUAUUUUAUCAUCAUAUGCAAAAAAAAUUCUAAAAUAUUUCCAAUAUAUAUGCACAAAACAGAGUGUAAAUAAGUGGCAAAUGUAGACAGACUUUUUGCACAAUUGGUCAAACAGAUUCGUCUUCACUUUUUAUUACAGUGUGUAAAACGGAUGGGUAAAACCUUCAUGUGGAAGACAACAAAGGUUAUGGGAUGUGGCUUUCCCCAAGACUUUAUUUUGACAUCAUGUGCAAAAAACACUCUAAAAUAUUUCG